rnacentral:rRNA from 1 species
GGAUUAGAUACCCUGGUAGUCCAUGCCGUAAACGUUGGGCACUAGGUGUGGGGACCAUUCCACGGUUUCCGCGCCGCAGCUAACGCAUUAAGUGCCCCGCCUGGGGAGUACGGCCGCAAGGCUAAAACUCAAAGGAAUUGACGGGGGCCCGCACAAGCGGCGGAGCAUGCGGAUUAAUUCGAUGCAACGCGAAGAACCUUACCAAGGCUUGACAUGUUUUCGACCGCCGUGGAGACACGGUUUCCCCUUUGGGGCGGAUUCACAGGUGGUGCAUGGUUGUCGUCAGCUCGUGUCG